UUCUCAUUUCCUACAAAGAAGAAAAAUAAGAAACUGAGCUUCUUCGCACUCUUCCAUGGCGACGGCGCUCCUUCAAAAUCCCUAAUUCCAGUAGCUUCGACUUUGCAGGCAAGUCGUUUUCCUCUCAACAUGAUUGCAAUUCCACGCAAAUUUAUCUCCUGUUUGUUUAUUAAACCUAAUUCCUCUUCCUGCAACUCAAAUGUCCUCUCAAUCAACCUCUUUUCCACUUGGAAGCUUAAAAGACUAAUCCCUGUCCCUGAAAUCUGCGAUGUUUUAGUCAAUAAACACCAAUUUUCUCCUGAAUUGGCUUCAUUUGCAUCAUCGCGUUUACGUAAUUUUAGAGAUCCCCAAAGAGCUGAUUUAGUGCUAUCAUUCCUCAAAGAGAAUAGCUUUACGACUACUCAGCUGCAGAAACUUGUCAUAUCUAAUCCUCAGGUUCUAGGGUUUACUAUUGGGUGUUUGAAAUCCAGAUUGAAGGUGUUCCAUGAGUUGGGGCUUUCUUCCGAGGAGAUUGCCAAUAUGAUUUCUAGUAAUAAGUCGAUUAUAAAUUCAAGUAUGGCCAACAAGAUCAUUCCCAAUAUAUGGAUGCUCCAGGGCUUAUUGGGAUCCAAUGAUGAUGUGGCCAGACUUGUGAAGAGAUGCCCCCAGGCUUUUUUAGCCGAUUUGGAGAAAACAUUAAUGCCAAAUGUGUAAAUCUUGAAGAAGUGUAGUAUACCAAUGGAGCGCAUCCUUCACUUGCUCUACAUUCGCCCAAGAACUUUCUUGGUUAAGUCGGAUACUUAGAUGAAAUCUAUUGAAAAGGCCAUUGAAAUUGGGGUGCCUCUCACUUCAAUUGCUUUUGUUUAUGCCGUUGAGGUUUUUAAUUAUACAAGCGAAGGGAUGUGGGAAGUCAAGUUGCAAACACUCCGUGAUUUGGGAUUUUCUGAUAAUGGUAUAGUCCCAAUGUUUAGGAAGCACCAUAUUACUUUUUCAGCAUCUGGAAACAAUUUGAAGAAAAAAAUAGAGUUUCUUCUUGCUACUGGGAAGUUUAAUAUAGCCAGUAUUUUAGCAUGUCUGGCAGCACUUGGGUGCAGUAUCGAGAAGAGGCUUGAGCCACGGAUGCAAAUUUUGAGACUUUUGGAGAGUAGGAAUUUGAUUGAAAGUAGCCUAGUCUUUCAAUAGUUUCUUCAUUUACGGAUUAUAUGUUUUUUGAUAAAUUCAUUAGGCCUUAUUAUGAUGAGAUUGGCGAAGAGUGCAUCAUCUAGAAAUUUGUCAUAGGAAAAAAAAAAGAGUUGAAGUUGUAAGCAAAUGCUUGCAGAGCAGAGCUCAGUUUGAAGUAAUAGUUAAUAGGUUAAGUAAAAGGUGAAUAGAUGUUUAGUUUCUUAUUAGGCCUUAUGGUGAUGAGAUUACCAAAGAACACAUCACAAAGGUGUAUUUCAAGUAGCAAUGGUUAGGUAAACUAAGGAGGUUAGAACCAUUCUGCUGUUUGGUGGUGUUUCUGCUUUUAUUGCUCAACAUGUCUGGUGGUGUUUCUGCUGAAAGCCGUGACAUUGUGCAGCAUCUUCCUGUUCUUGUCCAGAUUGCUCGUCCUGAGAUUAGAAACUUUGGUGUUGCUUGUUCUGAUCAGUUAUACUUUUGCUGCAUCUUUUCUCAUUUCUUAUGACUGUAAAUUGUGUUUACUGCCUUGUAAGUGAUGUUGAUCCACUCCCAAUAUUGUGUUAAUCUUGGGCUAUUUAGAGUGGGAAAUGCUAAUGUAACUUGCUUUUCUUCUAGAGAGACAUUCUUGCCAUUUGCUUUGAUUAUUAUAGUACCAUGUAGUAUAUGAAACAGUUGAAGUUUUUAUCUAGUGAAAACCUCUCCUUUUGUUCGCGAACUUUGCCAAGGUAUCAUUUUUGGUCCGUAACAUUUCAAAAUAACAUUUGUGUUCCAUAAACUAAGAUUUAAUAUCAUCUCAGCUAUUUUUUCGCUGUUUCAAAUUUUUUUAGGCGAAAAUAUCCUCAAGGCCAUGAAGGGGUUUAGAAGAAGGACGAAUUGAUGGAGAAGCAGAAGCAGCAAAUACAACCGCCAGUGGGAGGCAGUGAGAAGGCGAGGAAGAAGAAAAUGCCGAGCCCUCAGGAGCUGGUGACGCACUACGAGAAGCAGGGGAUGUCGACUCAGGAGGCUUCGCUUAAAGUGAUUGGGGAUUUGCAGGGAGCUCUCUUCAGAAUGAUUUCUGCCAAUAACAAACGCGACGAUUCCAAUUCUUCUCCGCAAGCGAUUUCUGCCAAGCUGGACGCCGUCUACGCUCGCGUCGUCCAGCUCGAAACGAAGCUCGAUUACAAGCCAAGUUACCCGCAGGCCCUGGCUCUGGGCGUUGCCUCCGCCUCCCUUUGGAAUGGCGCCCUUGAGCUCUGGAAAAACGUUCGUCGCGCCACCUCUUCCGACCCCUCGACCUAGUUUAUUUCAUUUCUUAGAAAAGGAAUGAUAUCUUCAUUGUCUUAACUCAUGUCUUCUCUAAUGAUGAUCCGCUUUUGCUAUAUUUCUGAAUAGGUAGAAACCAUUUUGAUUCCUUGUUACCGAUCCUGUUUUGAUAGUAUUAUGUUAGAACAAUUAGGGAUUGAAAAGAUUCUGGUUUAGGUACUAGCUACUCAUCAAUUUAGACGGAUGAAUGUAGCUUUGCACUCUCAUAACUCUCUUUGCUUCAUUCUCUUACUUUAUUAUCUCAAUUAUUUUGUUAUUUUA